rnacentral:rRNA from 1 species
GAUGAAUGCUGGCGGCGUGCCUAACACAUGCAAGUCGAGCGGUAACAGGUCUAGUUUACUAGAUGCUGACGAGCGGCGGACGGCUGGGUAACGCGUAGGAACGUGCCCCAAAGUGAGGAAUAACUGCCCGAAAGGGUGGCUAAUGCCGCAUAUGAUCUUCGGAUUAAAGUCUUCGGACGCUUUGGGAGCGGCCUGCGUUAGAUUAGGUAGUUGGUAGGGUAAUGGCCUACCAAGCCGACGAUCUAUAGCUGGUCUGAGAGGAUGAUCAGCCAGACUGGGACUGAGACACGGCCCAGACUCCUACGGGAGGCAGCAGUGAGGAAUCUUCCACAAUGGGCGAAAGCCUGAUGGAGCAACGCCGCGUGAAGGAUGAAGGCCUUCGGGUUGUAAACUGCUUUUAUGAGGGAAGAUUAUGACGGUACCUCAUGAAUAAGCCUCGGCUAACUCCGUGCCAGCCGCCGCCGUAA